CCAUUUUUCAAAAGCCCAAUAGUCAUUUGUGCUACUAGCCAUGAUAUACACAAGGCAGAGAGAAUAUUUCCAUCCUCAGAAAAAUGCUCUCCUGGGCAGGUGCUCAGAGUCUGGCACUCUGCUCAUUGAAGUCAUCUAACACAAAGCGUGUCCACAAUAGUCAGAAUUUCAGGGUGAUAAGAUUGCAGGCAAGUGCUGGGAUGGUCUAGUUAAAUGGGGAAGUGAGAAGUUGAGAGAGGAUUGUUUCACCUGCUCGCUCUCAUUUGCAAACUGUUUGUCUUGUUGGAGGCCUCUGAUUGCACAUAGCCCAGGGAAGGUCUGAGAUCCCAGGGGAAAGAGCAUGAGGAUCUUGAGUAGCCAGCAUGGUCUCAACUGGAGAAGGAAGGGACAGAUGUGCCACUCUCUAUAAUAAUUUCUUGCUGAUGUUUGUGUUCUUAAAGAUUGGCUUGCAGAUUGGCAGUAUGACUCCACCAGCAGUGAUGAGGACAACAAUCAAACCCUCAAAAACAUUUGAGGAGGAGGAGUCUUUUUCUUAAAUUCUCUUUUCCCAGAAUAUACAGAAGGCAUAGAAGAUGUGAAAAGAGAG
rnacentral:lncRNA from 1 species